UCCUUUGUAGCUUAGUAGGUAAAGAAUCUGCCUGCAAUGCAGGAGACUCAGGUUCAAUUUCUGAGUCGGGAA
rnacentral:tRNA from 1 species